CCAUGGUAUAACCCAUUAAAGGCGCACGUUGCAUAGCGGUACAGCUCGAGAAAUGUAUAAACAAGAACGCACAUAAAUAUCCAGAUGAUUAAAUAGAAAGAAGAAUUAUUUAGCAUUUUAACUAAUUAUUCAUGUUUUAAAGCUGAGCAGGUUCUUAAAGUGCCAAAUAUUCUAAAAGUCAAAUUUUUUUCAAUUUUUGCUUGCUUUUCCACUUUUUUCUCCAUAUUCUGGGGGUACUAUUGUAAAAGCCAACCAAAUUACCUUCAUUUCUUUUGUUCUUUUGCAUCUUUAUUUUUAUUAACUAAAGCUUCAUUCAUCUUUUCAUCAUUCAUAGCAUACCAAGUGAAUCCAAAGUUUCACCUCCUUGUCAUAUCUCUUUCUUCUGUUUACCCAGCCCAGCGACACAGCAACGGUCCAGCUCAGUCUCAGUCCAGAUCUCACUUCUCAUACUGGUGAAAUACUUUUACAUAAAAAAUGUCUAUGUCAACGUUACUCAGUCGCACUCAGUGUCCAACAGGCAACUCUCAAAAAGUGUGAAAUGUCAAGUUGACAUCUAAGCUACAAUCAGAUUAGAUUUUUCUUCAUAAAAAUCCAGCCUCGUUAUUUCAUCAUUAUUUUACCAUUACGUAAUUUUGCGCAUUUCGCAAGAAAAACUCCUGAAUCUCCUUACGAUUUACGUUACGUUAUGCGAAUGCAACACGACGCGACGCGACGCGACCGAUUCCAUGAGAUCAGCCAUUCCCUAUUACGUAUUUCAUUGGAAUUCCUUCCAGUACUUUAUAAUAUUUAAGGAAAAUCCCUCGCACAUCACAAUAUUCGAUGCGAGUUGGUGUCGCCUAGAUGAUGCUAAAAAGUAAUCUAGUCACAAUCAUCAUCAUAUCACAUCCCAUCGCAUCCCAUCGCAUCCCAUCAAAAUCGCAUUGUAUUGUAUGGUAUUAUAUUGUAUAGUGUAUUUCAUUGCAUCGCAUAACAUGGCAUAGCAUUUAAAUCAUCUUGUUUGUAUUAACAAAGGUCAGUCAACUAGUUAGUUAGUCUAACAAUUUCAUUCCAAAUCUUUCGACCUAAAGUCGGAUCGGAAUUCUCAUUUUCGCAAUAAUUUUUCUCAUCACAAAAGUUUAUCGCUACUCUAUAAAUCUUUCAAUCAUUGCCACUUCGAUCGCUUCAUCAUUGCUGGAAGGCUGAGUCAAAUAAAAAAAUGGUCAAGAUAACAGUCAUUGCUAAUGACUGACUUUCCCGACUUUGUCUACUUAUUUCUUCAUCAGAUGACAUACAUCAAGUGAUUCAUACUCAUUUACGUUGAGUUUACUCUCCAGCUCCUUGUUGCAUUUGCCCACUAAAUUGAAAAAAACGAUUUAUUCACAUUGGGAUUCAUUUUACACAAGUGUAGCAUAAGCUUCGAUUCAAUUCUGGUAUAACUAAAUUAAAAGUAAAACAAUAAUUUUGGAAAGGCGUUAAUAAUUUACCUUGUUUUCUCUUUUUUCGACAUUGACUCCUCUUCUAAAGUAUUCGCUUAUUACUCCUAAUUCUGCUCCUCCUAAUACAUCGAUUCCUACUACUUGCAUUGCUAAUUCUAAUAAUUACUUCUUAAUAAUAAUAACAUACUAACUAACUUCCAACUCAUAAUACACUUUACUAUUCUACCCUUGCAAUUUACCCAUCUCGCCUUCCAUCUUUUCUCAAUCAUAUUAUGGUUUCUUAUUCUCAAGAUUAAUCAAAUCUACCUACCUCAAAAAGAAAAAAAAAGGCUCUUUGCAACGAAGUACAUCAUCCUUCACGUGCAAAAGACUAGCCAAGCUGGCACAAAUAUCCAUCAUACUACCAACAAAAUAAUAGCUACGCUAAACCCACUAAAAGCAAAACACACUUUCUUCAAAUUCCCCCUCUCACACCACCAGCCAGCCAAGCCAAGC
rnacentral:lncRNA from 1 species